rnacentral:rRNA from 1 species
UACGUAGGGUGCAAGCGUUUGUUCGGAAUUACUGGGCGUAAAGAGUACGUAGGCGGUUUGAUAAGUCUGCUAUUUAAAGACUGGAGCUUAACUCCAGGACUGUAGUGGAAACUGUCAGACUAGAGGACAAUAGAGGAAGUCGGAAUUCUCAGUGUAGCGGUGAAAUGCGUAGAUAUUGGGAAGAACACCAGUGGCGAAAGCGGACUUCUGGGUUGUUACUGACGCUGAGGUACGAAAGCGUGGGGAGCAAACGGG